rnacentral:tRNA from 1 species
GGGGCCGUAGGCUAGCCUGGAAGGCUGCGGGGUUAGAGUCCCCGUGACCGGAGUUCAAAUCUCCGCGGCCCCACCA